rnacentral:rRNA from 1 species
AACGAACGCUGGCGGCAGGCCUAACACAUGCAAGUCGAACGCCGUAGCAAUACGGAGUGGCAGACGGGUGAGUAACACGUGGGAACGUACCCUUCGGUUCGGGAUAACUCAGGGAAACUUGAGCUAAUACCGGAUACGUCCGAGAGGAGAAAGAUUUAUUGCCGAGGGAUCGGCCCGCGUCUGAUUAGCUUGUUGGUGAGGUAACGGCUCACCAAGGCGACGAUCAGUAGCUGGUCNGAGAGGACGACCAGUCACACUGGAACUGAGACACGGUCCAGACACCUACGGGUGGCAGCAGUCGAGUAAUUUUCUCAAGUGGGGAACCCUGAAGGAGCGACGCCGCGUGGAGGAUGAAGG